AUUGAACGCUGGCGGCAGGCCUAACACAUGCAAGUCGAGCGGAUGAAGGGAGCUUGCUCCUGGAUUCAGCGGCGGACGGGUGAGUAAUGCCUAGGAAUCUGCCUGGUAGUGGGGGAUAACGUCCGGAAACGGGCGCUAAUACCGCAUACGUCCUGAGGGAGAAAGUGGGGGAUCUUCGGACCUCACGCUAUCAGAUGAGCCUAGGUCGGAUUAGCUAGUUGGUGGGGUAAAGGCCUACCAAGGCGACGAUCCGUAACUGGUCUGAGAGGAUGAUCAGUCACACUGGAACUGAGACACGGUCCAGACUCCUACGGGAGGCAGCAGUGGGGAAUAUUGGACAAUGGGCGAAAGCCUGAUCUAGCCAUGCCGCGUGUGUGAAGAAGGUCUUCGGAUUGUAAAGUACUUUAAGUUGGGAGGAAGGGCAGUAAGUUAAUACCUUGCUGUUUUGACGUUACCAACAGAAUAAGCACCGGCUAACUUCGUG
rnacentral:rRNA from 1 species